rnacentral:tRNA from 1 species
UUCCCUCUGGCUCAGUUGGUAAAGAAUCUGCCUGCAAUACAGAAGAUCUGGGUUCGAUCCCUGGGUUGGGAA